rnacentral:tRNA from 1 species
GGCGUGUUCGGCUAAGGGCCAGGCCGGGAGGCUUUCAAUCUCCAGAUACGGGUUCGAGUCCCGUACACGCUA